rnacentral:rRNA from 1 species
GCCAGACUCCUACGGGAGGCAGCAGUGAGGAAUAUUGGUCAAUGGGCGGAAGCCUGAACCAGCCAAAUCGCGUGAGGGACUAAGGCCCUGCGGGUCGUAAACCUCUUUUGUCAGGGAGCAACGCCGGCUACGUGUAGCCGGACUGAGAGUACCUGAAGAAAAAGCAUCGGCUAACUCCGUGCCAGCAGCCGCGGUAAUACGGAGGAUGCGAGCGUUAUCCGGAUUUAUUGGGUUUAAAGGGUGCGUAGGCGGAAUGCCAAGUCAGCGGUAAAAUCGCGGGGCUCAACCUCGCUCCGCCGUUGAAACUGGCGUUCUUGAGUGGGCGAGAAGUAUGCGGAAUGCGUGGUGUAGCGGUGAAAUGCAUAGAUAUCACGCAGAACUCCGAUUGCGAAGGCAGCAUACCGGCGCCCAACUGACGCUGAAGCACGAAAGCGUGGGUAUCGAACAGGAUUAGAUACCCGCGUAC